UACAGAGGGUGCAAGCGUUAAUCGGAAUGACUGGGCGUAAAGGGUGCGUAGGUGGCGAAUUAAGUUAGAUGUGAAAUCCCUGGGCUUAACCUAGGAACUGCAUUUAAUACUGGUUGGCUAGAGUAUGGGAGAGGUAAGUGGAAUUUCCGGUGUAGCGGUGAAAUGCGUAGAUAUCGGAAGGAACACCAGUGGCGAAGGCGGCUUACUGGCCUAAUACUGACACUGAGGCACGAAAGCGUGGGGAGCAAACAGG
rnacentral:rRNA from 1 species